UACGGAGGGUGCAAGCGUUGUCCGGAUUUAUUGGGUUUAAAGGGUGCGUAGGCGGCCCUGUAAGUCAGUGGUGAAAUACUGCAGCUUAACUGUAGCAUUGCCAUUGAUACUGCAGGGCUUGAGUACAGAUGAGGUAGGCGGAAUUGAUGGUGUAGCGGUGAAAUGCAUAGAUACCAUCAAGAACACCGAUUGCGAAGGCAGCUUACUAAGCUGUAACUGACGCUGGAGGCACGGAAAGCGUGGG
rnacentral:rRNA from 1 species